rnacentral:rRNA from 1 species
GUGUCAGCAGCCGCGGUAAUACGAAGGUGGCAAGCGUUGUUCGGAUUUACUGGGCGUAAAGGGAGCGUAGGUGGUCGGGUAAGCCCCGCGGGAAAGCUCCAGGCUUAACCUGGAAAGGUCGCGGGGGACUGCGCGGCUAGAGGACGGGAGAGGAGCGCGGAAUUCCCGGUGUAGCGGUGAAAUGCGUAGAGAUCGGGAGGAAGGCCGGUGGCGAAGGCGGCGCUCUGGAACGGCCCUGACACUGAGGCUCGAAAGCGUGGGGAGCAAACAGGAUUAGAUACCCGCGUAGUCC